CUUUGAUGACCUAAAAUGUGGUGGCAGCGGCUGUUUGUCACAACCACCACUGGACGCUUAUUGUGAGUACUAAAUAAGUUAUUAUCAAAUGUUGUACCAGAUCUGUCUGACCCGGUUUAUACUAGACAGGUUUUUUUACCCCAUGGAAAAGAGGGUAGUUAAUGUUGACCCCUUUGGUGCAACUGAAGCAAAAAUCGAAAGGUACCAGGAGAUGACCAGAGCUUUUGUACGCAAACAAUGCCUGGUCAUAGGGAGGUGCAAACGCUCCACAGUGCCUCACCCAAGGCAGCAGGAUGGUACAUCGUGUGGCGUUCUCGUGUGCGCAAUUGCAGAGUUUAUAUUAAGGGGUCGAGAAGCGGCCUUCCCUGUCCAGGCGGAGGGUGUGUCAAAACUGAGGCUGGACUGGCAACGACUCUGCUGGCAAAGACAGAUGACCUUUCGGGAUCGUGUCGGGCAUGUGGGGAGUUCAGCUUACAGGUGACUGGAUUGAAUCCAAUAGCUGUUCUGGGUGGAAUCACUGCGCCUGUGUAGGAUAUCCAUCCACAGUGGGAGACUAUCACUGCCAGGCCUGUGAGGAAUAAACCAUCAGCAAAUUUGCAAAGUUUUCUUUCCGAUGGAACCGCUCCACUGAGGACUCCAUCUCUUCUGCUCUUCACCUGAGCCUGGCACACCUGGAGGAGAACACCCACGUUUUGAUGCUGAUUCUGGACUUCAGCUCAGCUUUCAAAACCAUCAUUCCACAGCGUCUGAUAGGAUAACU